rnacentral:rRNA from 1 species
CUGGCGGCGUGCCUAAUACAUGCAAGUCGAGCGAACUUUUGGGAGCUUGCUCCCAAAAGUUAGCGGCGGACGGGUGAGUAACACGUGGGCAACCUGCCUGUAAGACUGGGAUAACUUCGGGAAACCGGAGCUAAUACCGGAUAACAUAUGAGACCACAUGGUCUCGUAUUAAAAGAUGGCUUCUCGCUAUCACUUACAGAUGGGCCCGCGGCGCAUUAGCUAGUUGGUGAGGUAACGGCUCACCAAGGCAACGAUGCGUAGCCGACCUGAGAGGGUGAUCGGCCACACUGGGACUGAGACACGGCCCAGACUCCUACGGGAGGCAGCAGUAGGGAAUCUUCCGCAAUGGACGAAAGUCUGACGGAGCAACGCCGCGUGAGCGAAGAAGGUCUUCGGAUCGUAAAGCUCUGUUGUUAGGGAAGAACAAGUAUCGUUCGAAUAGGGCGGUACCUUGACGGUACCUAACCAGAAAGCCACGGCUAACUACGUGCCAGCAGCCGCGGUAAUACGUAGGUGGCAAGCGUUAUCCGGAAUUAUUGGGCGUAAAGCGCGCGCAGGCGGUCCUUUAAGUCUGAUGUGAAAGCCCACGGCUCAACCGUGGAGGGUCAUUGGAAACUGGGGGA